AUGUACACGCGUUAAUGCAAUUUUUAAAUUUAAAAUUAAUUUUUUUUGGAAAUUAGAAGGGUUCUCUUUGUUCAAGAAUAGAAGUCUUUCUUUUUAAAAUUUUUAAUUUAUACUUCUCUUAUGUACAUAUAAUAUUAAGCGAUCAAAUUGCAUUUCCAAAUGUAUAAGGUUUUGUAUCAAGAAUUUAGCAAUAUUUCAGUAAUUAUCUGUAAAAAAUAGCAUCACGCAAUCUAUCAUGUCACAAAUAACAGUCUUGUUAUCAAAAACACUUCAUAUCAGUUAAUUGGCUCUAAACUUAUUUUACAUAUAGGACGAAUAUGGAAUAUUAUACAUUAUGCUAUCCAGAGAUAUAUAUUCUAUGAAAAUGCGAUUGAUGAUUACUUGACAUUUUGAACAAUUUAUGCAAUUAAAACUGUAUGCAUAAAUAUUGAGAAGUUUACACCAUUGAAAUUUUUUAGUUAUCAGAAAGACAUGCAAUAAUGAAACUCAUGAUUUUUUAUUUAUAUAUAGAUCUAUGAUAUAUAUCACAAAUUAAAUCUGUCAAAGUAAAGAAAAUAUUGAAGUAGGCUCAAAUGAAGACAAUAAUUUUCAACAAGUAGAAUAAUAAUUCACGAUUUUUUAAGUAGAUACAAUGAAUAAUCAAUCUAUCAAGUAUCGUCUCGCAGAAGAAUUAUAUUAAAUUUAUAAGUAUUUUAAUGAGAUGUUAGUCUUUAAAUAAAUUUAAGUCGUGAAAUUUAUCCAUCAAAAAAUGAAGGAUAUGGCAUUGAUUAGCGUGAUGGAGACUCAUUUAAGAAACAAUCGUCUCGGAAUUCGUCGUCGACCUUUCGAAACCUUUGGUAAAUAAAUAAUUCAUAUACAUUAUGCAACUGUGACUUCGCUUUUUUUUUUUUUUUUGUUUACAUAAUCAAAUAUAUUCGCGCUCAUUUAUACAUCAACGGACGGUAAAUGAGUGUCAUGUGAAAUGUCAAAAGCGAACUGCAUUAUCGAUGUAAACAUAUGCCGAUUUUAUCGACAGGGAAAAAAGAGAAACAAAAAACCAUAAACUUAUUAUAUAUAUAUAUAUAUUGUAUAAAUAUAGAAAAAGGUCAGCGUUACACAAAAUCUGUAUACAUUUAUUUCCGGCGAUCCAUAUAAAUGUAAAAAAAUACUCAAUGAAUCUAUAUAUACUUAAUGAUGCUAAUUCGUCAACUUUACAUGUAUAGAACUGCAAGCUAAUUGUAUAUCUAAUUGGAGCGACUGCACACAACGAUGAGAGAGCAUAAUGGAAUUGCAACAAUUAAUUAUAUACACACGAGCUUAAUUAUAUAUGAAUGAUUAUAAGAAAAAGUUGAGCUGGCCGUGAAUUAAUGCAGCUAAUCUUUUUUGCUUGUAUUUUUCCGUAUGUAUGCAUACAUAUAUAUCUAUGGUUUUGCUCGUGUCCUUCUCUCAAUGGCGGCGCGUAAAUAAGUGCGUAAACGCACACAUAUAUGCAUAUAUGCGUAUGUAUAUAACAUCUCCUUUUACACAAGAAGCACGAGCGCGUUUGCGUAACGCCCUGCUACUUUACAUCAAUAUUGUUAUCAGCGGUUGCAGCGUAACAUGCUUCGUUAGAAGAGAUCGCUUCUUCCUACGUUCGCAUUCAACGUGUGAUACGUGAUGCAAAUAAUAUCUAAUGAAUAAAUAAUGAAAAUUCUUAUAUAUA